GACGUAGGAUCCGAGCGUUGUCCGGAGUUACUGGGCGUAAAGCGCGCGCAGGCGGACACGCGCAUCGGCGGUGAAAGCCCCCCGCUCAACGGGGGAGGGUCCGUCGAGAUGGCGUGUCUGGAGGCAGGGAGAGGCCAGUGGAAUUCCGGGUGUAGUGGUGGAAUGCGUAGAGAUCCGGAGGAACACCAGUGGCGAAGGCGGCUGGCUGGACCUGACCUGACGCUGAGGCGCGAAGGCGUGGGGAGCGAACGGG
rnacentral:rRNA from 1 species